UCUUGCUGAAAAAAUCAUAACUUCAAACAUUAUGCAUUAUAUUAUGAAGUUUUUGUUGAUAGGGUUGCGAAUAAAUGGUAUGGACCCAACCACACAGAACUGGUUCUUUAAAAUACUCAUGUUCAUAAAUGGAACUUCAGUAGUUGCCGUUUUUAUAAUCAAUUUGCUCGAAUUACUCCUUAAUUGGCAUGGAAUAGAGACGUUUGGUGAUGUGCAUUUGAUAUCUUCUACAUCAAUACUUGCAGCCAAAUGUAUUUAUAUAUCAUUCAAUCAAGCAAAACUUCUAAAUUUAAUCAACACAGUCAACAAAUUCUGGAAAUUUGACAAAUUUGAUGCUGAUACCGAGACUCGCAUAACUGGAUACCUAGACCGCGCCUUGGCUGCUUUUAAAUUUUUUGCUUUAGCAGUAAUGGGUACCGCAUUUUCUGCGUUGAUUAGUGGUCUGCUGAGCCGCGAAUUAAUUUUCCCCGGUUAUGAUGUCUGCGAUUUGCAAAGUAGUCCGUGUUAUGAGAUAAAUAUGGUUUGGCAAACUUAUUUCUGUUAUUUUGAACUAUACCCCAUUGUAAUGGGAUUUGAUGGACUGUUUGUGUGUUUUAUUGGAUACGCAUAUUGCAAUCUCGAGAUGAUAAAAGUUGCUUUAAAACAAAUGACUUUAGUGAUUAAAAAGAAUCACUUGCCACCGAACUUACGCUAUGAGUCAGACGAUGAAAAGAGAUUGGUCAAGAGCAAUUUGACGGAAAUCGUUGAACAACAUGCACAAGUUAUGCAAUUUAUUAAAGAAAUUAAUAUAUUCUAUAGUCCUAUGAUGUUGUUGCAUUCGGGAUCAUCGUUGUUUAGUUUAAUAUUUUGCUUGUAUAUGAUAACAUUGGAUGG